rnacentral:rRNA from 1 species
UGAAGCGGCAACAGCUCAAAUUUGAAAUCUGGCCCCCCGGGUCCGAGUUGUAAUUUGUAGAGGAUGCUUUUGGCGAGGUGCCUUCCGAGUUCCCUGGAACGGGACGCCAUAGAGGGUGAGAGCCCCGUCUGGUCGGACACCGAGCCUCUGUAAAGCUCCUUCGACGAGUCGAGUAGUUUGGGAAUGCUGCUCAAAAUGGGAGGUAUAUGUCUUCUAAAGCUAAAUAUUGGCCAGAGACCGAUAGCGCACAAGUAGAGUGAUCGAAAGAUGAAAAGCACUUUGAAAAGAGGGUUAAAAAGUACGUGAAAUUGUUGAAAGGGAAGCGCCUAUGACCAGACUUGGGCCCGGUGAAUCAUCCAGCGUUCUCGCUGGUGCACUUUGCCGGGCACAGGCCAGCAUCAGUUUGGCGCGGGGGAUAAAGGCUUUGGGAAUGUGGCUCCCUCGGGAGUGUUAUAGCCCACUGCGCAAUACCCUGCGCCGGACUGAGGUACGCGCAUCGCAAGGAUGCUGGCGUAAUGGUCAUCAGCGACCCGUCUUGAAACACGGACCAAGGAGUCGUC